rnacentral:snRNA from 3 species
AUACUUACCUGGCAGGGGAGAUACCAUGAUCACGAAGGUGGUUUUCCCAGGGCGAGGCUUAUCCAUUGCACUCCGGAUGUGCUAACCCCUGCGAUUUCCCCAAAUGUCGGAAACUCGACUGCACAAAA